rnacentral:lncRNA from 1 species
CUUGGUAUUUCACAUUUAAUGUUACAAAAAUAAAUAUGGGGAAUGCAUUUAAAUUGGUCACGUCCAAAUUUAUUAAGAAAAAAAAUAAGAAUAUAUCAACUAGGCCAGUUGUUCUAUUCCAGAAAUGAUUGAAUAGAUCAUACGUUCAUUGUCAGUCGAAUGGUUAAGAGGCUUGUCUUGUAUCCAACAGACCCAUGUAUGAUUCCCAAUUGUGAGUUUUAAAUCUAAUUCCAUCCUCCUUCAGCAAAACAACGUUGUUUCAGUCAAUAGACAGAAGCAACUCAGCAGCCUUCUUCGCUUUUCGUCGCUUCCGCUAGCGACAGCUCUAUUUUUCCGGCGAGCUUAGUUCCAUCAAUAAUUGGAAUUUUGGCGCCCCUUAACCACUUUGGCCCUGCAUUCUUGCAUCAUGAUACACCAAAUCCUUAUAUUAACUGCUUUCCGACUCAAUAAUUCAUUGAAUUGGUCCUAAAACAUCAAAUCCAAGUUCUUUAUCGGUUUGUCUCAUUGCACCAAUUAGUUUCGUCAAUGGGGUAAGAUAUGUAGAUUUUCAUUCCAAUAAUGCAAUCCUGAAUCACCCCUUAGUUAUUAUAGACAUACCAGACCAUCCUAGAAAUCGAUAUUACCGAAGUAAUCAGGGUCGAAAUUUUUUAUGGUCUCUUAUUGUAUUCUACCCAAAGUUGUGAAAAGGCUAAUCAGUUUAAUCAAAGUUGUGAUGUGAGUUCCACGAUUUAUCAAACUAAGAAUAAAAAUGUAUAAAUAACGAAACAUUAAUACAUAUUUGCAAGACUGCUCGAUUAAGAGUUUUGACUAACUGGAUGGAACUGCUUUGACUUCAAAUCCCCCUAGGCUAUCCAAAUUCACAAAUGAUAUCCAACUUCAAUAAUUUAUGCAAAACAAGAUAAAUACAGUUCACUGUCGCAGUUCUUCACUAAUCAAAUCAUGCACUUUCGGGUCUGCUAAUUUGCUACGUAUCUACUAGCCUAGUCAGCUCUUUCGAGACAACAAGCUAAAAUCCACUAGGAUAGAAAACAAACGAGAAUUGCUCAAACGACGGAGUAGCUUAUUCGCUCCUGAAUGAGGGUUAGUGACUAACCUAACUGUUUAAUUUUGAGACGAUGAGAAAUCUAGCAAGAUCUUAUUCAAGAUGGCCAAGCAAGAAUAAGGACGAAAAUGAAAUUAAACAUAAACCAAAAUCUAUCCAACUCGCAUAAAUUGUCAAAGUCAAACAAUCAUCCUUUAUAAGGAAUUACCUAGGGUUCAUCUAAUCUAAGCACAAGGAGUUAAGCUAAUUAGAACUUCGAAGGACAAAUCAAAAUAUACAAAGGAGAAAUCGGAAAAACCUAAUUUCACCGAGAACCGUCAAAUAAAUCAAUUUACAAAUCUUGUUAUGUCUUCCGACCCGAGCUCCUUAAAGUUGAUGCCUUCUCGUGACUCCAAAGUCUCUGAACUAUGCUAUGAAUUUCGUCCCCAAAAAUUCUCUCCUUUUGAAUGGAGGAAACGGUCAUUAAAUAGAAUUUUAGAUCCUUCUUUCAGCCGGAUUUGUCGAUAAUUGAGCCUAAAAGUUUUCAAAGAUUAAGCCUGAGGGUUGAGCAUAAUAAUUCUAUAUAGGCUCAUGGUAAUAUGAAGAUCCGUAAGGAUAUUCAUGAUGGUAAUGAUAUGGCGAUGACUCUAUGUAACUUAAGGGAGGUUGAUUAUGAUAGCUCCAUGCAGGCAUCUGGUACUAUGAAGGAGGGCAAGGAUUCACAUACCAAGAUUGUGAUGGUUGAUCCUCGUUGUGAUUC